AAAUAGGAAGUGAAAUAUUACACCCAAUUUCGACUUGGUUUUUGAUUAAAUAUCCCUAUUUA
rnacentral:tRNA from 1 species